UACGUAGGCAGCAAGCGUUGUUCGGAGUUACUGGGCGUAAAGGGUGUGUAGGCGGUUGUUUAAGUUUGGUGUGAAAUCUCCCGGCUCAACUGGGAGGGUGCGCCGAAUACUGAAUGACUAGAGUGUGGGAGCGGUGAGUGGAAUUCCUGGUGUAGCGGUGAAAUGCGUAGAUAUCAGGAGGAACACCGGUGGUGUAGACGGCUCACUGGACCAUAACUGACGCUGAGACACGAAAGCGUGGGUAGCAAACAGG
rnacentral:rRNA from 1 species